rnacentral:rRNA from 1 species
UACGUAGGGGGCGAGCGUUGUCCGGAAUCAUUGGGCGUAAAGCGCGUGUAGGCGGUCCGGUAAGUCCGUUCUGAAAGUCCGGGGCUCAACCCCGGGAGGCGGAUGGAUACUGCAAGGCUCGAGUACGGAAGAGGCGAGUGGAAUUCCCGGUGUAGCGGUGAAAUGCGCAGAUAUCGGGAGGAACACCAAUGGCGAAGGCAGCUCGCUGGGAUGUUACUGACGCUGAGACGCGAAAAGCGUGGGGAGCAAACAGG